AGAGUUUGAUCCUGGCUCAGGACGAACGCUGGCGGCGUGCCUAAUACAUGCAAGUCGAGCGAAGUUUUUCUGGUGCUUGCACCGGAAAAACUUAGCGGCGAACGGGUGAGUAACACGUAAAGAACCUGCCUCAUAGACUGGGACAACUAUUGGAAACGAUAGCUAAUACCGGAUAAUAGCAUUAACUGCAUGGUUGAUGUUUAAAAGUUGGUUUUGCUAACACUAUGAGAUGGCUUUGCGGUGCAUUAGCUAGUUGGUGGGGUAAAGGCCUACCAAGGCGACGAUGCAUAGCCGACCUGAGAGGGUGAUCGGCCACACUGGGACUGAGACACGGCCCAGACUCCUACGGGAGGCAGCAGUAGGGAAUCUUCCGCAAUGGGCGAAAGCCUGACGGAGCAACGCCGCGUGAGUGAAGAAGGAUUUCGGUUCGUAAAGCUCUGUUGUUAGGGAAGAAUGAUUGUGUAGUAACUAUACACAGUAGAGACGGUACCUAACCAGAAAGCCACGGCUAACUACGUGCCAGCAGCCGCGGUAAUACGUAGGUGGCAAGCGUUGUCCGGAAUUAUUGGGCGUAAAGCGCGCGCAGGUGGUUUAAUAAGUCUGAUGUGAAAGCCCACGGCUCAACCGUGGAGGGUCAUUGGAAACUGUUAAACUUGAGUGCAGGAGAGAAAAGUGGAAUUCCUAGUGUAGCGGUGAAAUGCGUAGAGAUUAGGAGGAACACCAGUGGCGAAGGCGGCUUUUUGGCCUGUAACUGACACUGAGGCGCGAAAGCGUGGGGAGCAAACAGGAUUAGAUACCCU
rnacentral:rRNA from 1 species